AUUGAACGCUGGCGUCAGGCCUAACACAUGCAAGUCGAACGGUAACAGGAAACAGCUUGCUGUUUCGCUGACGAGUGGCGGACGGGUGAGUAAUGUCUGGGAAACUGCCUGAUGGAGGGGGAUAACUACUGGAAACGGUAGCUAAUACCGCAUAACGUCGCAAGACCAAAGAGGGGGACCCUCGGGCCUCUUGCCAUCGGAUGUGCCCAGAUGGGAUUAGCUUGUUGGUGGGGUAACGGCUCACCAAGGCGACGAUCCCUAGCUGGUCUGAGAGGAUGACCAGCCACACUGGAACUGAGACACGGUCCAGACUCCUACGGGAGGCAGCAGUGGGGAAUAUUGCACAAUGGGCGCAAGCCUGAUGCAGCCAUGCCGCGUGUAUGAAGAAGGCCUUCGGGUUGUAAAGUACUUUCAGCGGGGAGGAAGGGAGUAAAGUUAAUACCUUUGCUCAUUGACGUUACCCGCAGAAGAAGCACCGGCUAACUCCGUG
rnacentral:rRNA from 1 species